rnacentral:rRNA from 1 species
GACGAACGCUGGCGGCGUGCUUAACACAUGCAAGUCGAACGGAAAGGCCCUGCUUUUGUGGGGUGCUCGAGUGGCGAACGGGUGAGUAACACGUGAGUAACCUUCCCUUGACUUUGGGAUAACUUCAGGAAACUGGGGCUACUACCGGAUAGGAGCUCCUGCUGCAUGGUGGGGGUUGGAAAGUUUCGGCGGUUGGGGAUGGACUCGCGGCUUAUCAGCUUGUUGGUGGGGUAGUGGCUUACCAAGGCUUUGACGGGUAGCCGGCCUGAGAGGGUGACCGGCCACAUUGGGACUGAGAUACGGCCCAGACUCCUACGGGAGGCAGCAGUGGGGAAUAUUGCACAAUGGGCGGAAGCCUGAUGCAGCAACGCCGCGUGCGGGAUGACGGCCUUCGGGUUGUAAACCGCUUUCGCCUGUGACGAAGCGUGAGUGACGGUAAUGGGUAAAGAAGCACCGGCUAACUACGUG